GGAAGAAUGAGAUAUUGGAGACUGCUGAGGGCCCAGGAUCUGCAAAUAACAACUCUCAAAACCCUCUUGUAUUGGCAGCAAAUAGAACGAAGCGCCCAGAUAUUCUUCAUGGAUUUAGGGUGUAUGAAGGUGGCUGGGACAUUGCCAAUCCUAAUUACUGGGCUUCUGUUGGGUUUACUGGUGCAACUGGUUUCAUUCUUUCUAUCUUCUGGUUCAUUUCCUUUGGCAUUGCUCUUCUUAUUCAUCGUUGCUGUGGAUGGAAAUUAAACCUUAAAGGCGAAGAAUCAAAGACUUCACAGUGGAUUUGCCUAGCAUUACUUGUUGUUUUCACAUCUGCUGCAGCCAUUGGCUGCAUACUUCUAUGUAUUGGACAGAAUAAUUUUUACAAUGAAGGUUUGCAUACUUUGAAGUAUGUUGUAAACCAGUCGGACUACACUGUACACACGCUUAAAAAUGUUACAGAAUAUCUCUCACUUGCAAAGACCAUUAGUGUGGCCCAGGUGUUCC
rnacentral:misc_RNA from 1 species